rnacentral:lncRNA from 1 species
GCCAGGCUCCCUGUGGGCUGAGCCAAAGGCUUGGGAGAACAAAUGGCUCCUUCUCAGAUGUGCAUGGAGGACUUGUCCUAGUGUUUCUCUCGAAUCUCUAUAAGGCCUUCUGUUCACACGCAUGUCUUGUUGAUUGUGAGUUGGAGGAAGAAAGAAGGGGAUAGUCCUCUAUAAUUAGGACUCUAGGGGAGUAGAGCGGUUCCCUCCCCGUCAGAAACUUUCAUCGGGAAAUGGGCCAUUUGUCCCUGUGCCAUGUGUUACGAACACUCCUAUGGGUUUCUUCUACAGACUUAACAAAAUGUCUUUCUUCUCAUCAUGGAUGAAAGCUAUUUUUGUCAUUGCCUUGCUGUUUCCUCUACAUUCUGAAACUGGUCUUUCACAUCCACUUUCAACGGGGAAUAAGAGACCACCAAACUGUGACAUAUAUAAAGAUGUUUUACAUUGCACCAAUAUGUGGAAUCCAGUCUGCGCAACCGAUGACAUCACUUAUCACAACAUAUGCACUUUCUGCCAGCAAAAAUUAAAGUCUGGUGGAAAAUUGGAUUUUCUGUUUUUCGGUCAAUGUUCUUAGCUCAGAGCUACACCUUCUUAUGCCUUUUCUUGCAAUGCUAUUUUGCAGUGGAUUCUACAAGCAAUUAGAGUCUUCUCAGUCAGAGCUUUAAAUUUGCAGAUGACCACACAAAGCCUGCUGUGGCAUACAAGAUGAAAUGUAGGAUGUUGAAGAAUUUUUCUAAUCUGUGAUUCAAAGAUUUUUAUCCUCUAUGUUGAAUUAUCAGUGGCAGUUGAAAAACCGUCUUAAUUGUAGUUGAUAAUAUAAAGCCUAUGUAACUUAAAAUCAUAAA